rnacentral:tRNA from 1 species
CGUUAGGUGGCUGAAAGUAAGCAGUGGAAUUUUAAACCGCCCUAUAAUAGAGUAACACCUAUUCCUAAUG